rnacentral:rRNA from 1 species
CAUGGUUGUCGUCAGCUCGUGUCGUGAGAUGUUGGUUAAGUCCCGCAACGAGCGCAACCCUCGACCUUAGUUGCCAGCAUUCAGUUGGGCACUCUAAGGUGACUGCCGGCUAAAAGUCGGAGGAAGGUGGGGAUGACGUCAAAUCAUCAUGCCCCUUAUGACCUGGGCUACACACGUGCUACAAUGGGCGGUACAAAGGGUCGCGAACCCGCGAGGGGGAGCCAAUCCCAAAAAGCCGCUCUCAGUUCGGAUUGCAGGCUGCAACUCGCCUGCAUGGAGCCGGAAUCGCUAGUAAUCGCGGAUCAGCACGCCGCGGUGAAUACGUUCCCGGGCCUU